GGUGACGGUAGGUGUAGAAGAAGCACCGGCUAACUANGUGCCAGCAGCCGCGGUAAUACGUAGGGUGCGAGCGUUGUCCGGAUUUAUUGGGCGUAAAGAGCUCGUAGGCGGUUUGUCGCGUCNAUCGUGAAAACUGGAGGCUUAACCUUCAGCUUGCGGUCGAUACGGGCAGACUUGAGUUCGGUANGGGAGACUGGAAUUCCUGGUGUAGCGGUGAAAUGCGCAGAUAUCAGGAGGAACACCGGUGGCGAAGGCGGGUCUCUGGGCCGAUACUGACGCUGAGGAGCGAAAGCGUGGGGAGCGAACAGGAUUAGAUACCCUGGUAGUCCACGCCGUAAACGUUGGGCGCUAGGUGUGGGGACUGUUUCCACGGUCCCUGUGCCGUAGCUAACGCAUUAAGCGCCCCGCCUGGGGAGUACGGCCGCAAGGCUAAAACUCAAAGGAAUUGACGGGGGCCCGCACAAGCGGCGGAGCAUGUGGAUUAAUUCGAUGCAACGCGAAGAACCUUACCUGGGUUUGACAUGCACCAGACUGCCNUAGAGAUA
rnacentral:rRNA from 1 species